CACAGGAAAAACUGUAUAUUUUGGUGUUUACCUUUAGGGAUAGAGCGACCACUUGUACAGAUCCCUUUAGGUCUUCUGGCAGCUUGUUUAUACAGCUGGGACCACAAAGACCAAUGUCUUGCAUUUAAAAGGAUGGCAGAGUGAAAACAGAUACUCCCAAAGGGUGAAGUCUGUUUUUCUUUGCUGAAAGAAAGGGGCAGUUUUCUGUGUUUUGUGACAGUGGGUUAUUCCUUGGAGUCAUGUUCCUAAAGCUUGUUCUCGCUUGCCCCACAGGGCUCUUCAGUGACCCCAUGCACUUCAAUGUAGUUGAUGCAUUUCAUAGAACUUGGUAAAGACCCAGGUCAGCACCUUUUUUCUAUAGGUCUUGCCCACCUAUCAGUGUCACACACAUCACACAGUUCCUGAUAAAACUGAAAAAUAUCCUAUUAAUUUUCACGGGAAUAUUGUCAUGCCCAGAUGGUUGAAGUCCUUGUUCAAGACUCAUACAGCAGAACUCCAUCAUCCUCAUCCUGAAUAUGAUCUCUGAAAUGAGGAAGGCUAUUGUCAUAUUUUGUAAAUUGGCAUCUCAGUACAAUUUAGUACAAUUUUUUUUUUUUAAAUCCAGCAAAAAAAUCCCAGUAAGUUCAAAUGAAUGGGAAUUAGUGGGUGGUGCUGAAUAGGGCUGGGACACCACUCUGAGCAGGUGAUAGGAGUGAAGGUGUUCAGCUCCUAAGAGUCAGGCUGCAUCUGGGCUGUGAGCAGAACCCAUUGCUUGUGUCAGUAGGAGUUCCUUUUCUAAAUCUAGUGAAAGAGUUUUCUUUAUGGAAAUGGAAUAGUCUUCUAAAAAGAUGCUUAAAAAAACCUUCCACUAUUUGAUGGAGAGUGUUGCUCUUUCAGUUGAGUACAGUGUUGUAGAGCUCUGCCUUUUUUUUAAGGAGUUGUUGUGCACUGUUAAAUCCUGCAGGAUUUCUUUGUUGCAGGAGGACUGUAGAUUUUGAUCCAGCCUUCAUUAAAAGGAAGCCUUUUAGUUCAUGGCUUGGAACUGCUCUUGCAUUUCCAUAGAAAUAAAGGAAUCUAAACAGCAUGCAACUGAAAUUAAAUCCAUGGAAGGACAAUUUCAACCAACUUAUUUUCCUGAACAUAUUUGGAAAACAGAGGGACAGGUCUGUGAAUUUAUAAAUUUGAAACAACAUAAAAAGGACCUUGAACUUUCAGUCAAAGAGGCAUGUAAUUAAAUUUCUCCCUGCUCCAUAAUUUUCUAUUGUAUCCUUGUUACCUUUUUUGUCAUAUCUAUUUGCAUCUUCACAAAUCCAAAAUAUCUUAAUUUGAAUAAAACAAAAGCCUAUUCAUGCUUGUACUAUUCAUGUGGUUUAAUUGGUUUACAAAAUACAAAUGUUCUUUGAAAGAAACUGAUUUGAUUUCAAGAGGCUGGUAGUUGUCCAUCAUAUGUGGUCCUUCUUCUCACAAAAGAUGAAGGAACAGAAUUAGACAUAAAUGGGCUUGCUUCAACUUGCUUUGGUUUUGCCCCUGUUUGGGCUGAGCUCUCACUGUUGCUCAGUGAAUACAGUAGGAAAAUAUUAGGGUUGUAGCUAAUUGCACAAACAAAAAUAGUUUUCCACAUGUGAAGUUUAAAUGGAGAACUGAAAAUACUUUUCAAAUGCUCCACUUUCCUGUUCUAGGUAAUAUCAGCAUGAUCUUGAAGACUGCAAAAUUCAUUAUGGUCUUGGAGCUCCUGGGCAGAUGGUGUUAUGUGGUAGAGGUAACAGUGUUGUAUACCAGUGUCAGUCAGGGUUAGAAAGAGGUUCCAGAUUAUUUUGAUACUUAAGUGAAUAUGUAACAGAGAGUAGUUGAGAUAAGGUGGUAUGUUCUUGCAUCCCAGAUUAUGUACAUCCAAUUAAAUUUGAAUUGAAUUACAAGUAAGAAUUAAUUGAAGCAAUUUCUGAUAUCUUAUAUGGAAGAAUCUGUUAAGUAAUGAUUCGUUAAUGUGGACCAAGAUUUUUAAUGCCAUGGGUCUCAGUAAGGGCCAGAUGGAGCAGGUGACAAUGGGAGGGGUGGGUAGGCAGCGCUGCCACUCUGUGCCAGGAGGUACUGCAGUGUUUGAGCACAGAGAGGGGCACUGUGCUGGGUGACUGAUGGACUUUGCAGGUUCAGCUUCAGGUCAGUAGGGCCAAUAGAAACUGAGUUUGAAAAUCUGGCCAGAUAAAUAGCUCCCUGUGUAGGUGCAGGUUUGUGAUUUGGAAAUUCAGUCUUGCAGUGUAUCUGAAUAUCAUCACUGCAGACAUCUUCAGUGAUCCCAUUGCAAAUGUGUUCCUGGUGGGGAGGAACUCCUAACCCUCCCAACACACUUCUUGGCCAGCUUCAUAGCAUCCUGCUGUGCGGUGGCCCUGUGAGCUGAGCCUCUGUGUUGGUCCCCAGACAUUGUGUUGGGGGACCAACUGUGUUCCUCUGGAAGCUGGGAAGAUAUUCCCUUCACUGGGUCUGCCUUGGUUAUUUGGUGCAGACCUCUGCAAUGUCUUUUCUGCUGCUGCAGAUGUGGGAGAAACAGCCCUUGGUGUCUUUCUGUAAGAGCUCUUCCUUGGUUAGAAGAGGAAAAUAUUCUUUCUCUCAGUGUCUGCUCCCAGAUGAACAGCUACUUCUUGGGGUAGCUGGGAAAAGGGAAAAGAGAUGCCGCUCUGCAAACUUUUCUAUCAAGAGAAGGACCUUCUAGCAGUAGCUGUAUAAUAGCAACAAGGCAAUACAGCACAGGUUAAACACCUCAGUGUGCAGGGUGUCUGGUGUAAUUCAAAUACCAAAGAAGAAGUUAAUGUAGAAAACUGUUAGUCAACUCAUUAAAUUGAUUCGUGUGUUUAUCUGGAGAGUUAUCUAUUCUUCUGCAGGAAGAACAGCAUUUUAUGGUAUGAUUAGUUACUAGUUUAUUUAAACUUUUUACAUGUUCUCCAAUACAACCAGGCAGGGACCACCAGCUCAAUAAUAUUCAUGUUGUCUUUGGGGCACAUCUGAGUGUGGGGGGAAAUAUAUGCAGAGUAUUUCAUGGAGGCUGCCUGCCCCUGAGGCAACUUUAGUGAUGUCAGCUCCUCAUCUGUGUGCCUUCAUGAGACUGUGCCCAGAACAUACAGGCUAAACUCAGAAAGGGAAACGUGCAGAGCUGUCAGUCGAGUCUCUCUGGCUGUCAAUAUAGUUUAUGUUUAAGCACAGACUGAAGGGCACAAGAAGAUGCAUUACUGACAAAGUAAAUCAAAUCAUGGUUGGCAACAGGUUGCAAAUGCAGGAGAGAACUGAUGAUGGAUAGGCAAUGGAAUUAUAAAGCAGAGGGAAGUCUCUGAAGGAUACAGAGAUCAUAAAAAUGGAAAAUACUGGGUAGAGGCAAAAAUAAUCUAUUGUGUUACCUCAAUGGGAAAGUAUUUGCAUGUCAAAAGAAAGUUUUAUACACAGCCUAAUGUGGUGGUAAUAGGAAAAAAAAAUCUAUUUGCACUGUCAUUUCUUGCUCUGUAUUUCUCUGAGUUCUGAGGCUGCUGUAAAGAAAAUAUUAUCUCUUCUGAACUGCAGAUUAAUUAGUCAAGAUAAUGAAUAAUUCAAAUCUUGAAUUUACGCAAAGCAUCUCUUCUCAGUUUAUAUAUUUUGCUAAUAGAAAAAGAGAAAACCAGCUUCUUGUUGCAAUUUGAGAUUUUUUCAAAGCAAAAGCCUCAGUUUAUGCUUUGCUAAGAUGAACUAGAUCAGGAGUUAAUGGUAAUAGAUUUAGCAAUCUGCUGAAUAGGCAACUGUUUACUAUGGAGCACUUCGGUUGUAUGAGAGAUUCAUUAGCUGAAUCUCAUUUAAUGUGUUUACUUCUUGACUUUCACAGAAGAAAAAAGAUGUAACAACAAUUAUUUUUUACUUUUUAUUUGCCAUGUGAAUCAUCCAGCUUCACUUUUUCUAUGCCAAGCAGAAAUCAGUCUGGAAUACUUAAUCAGUAUAGAUUAUAGAAGUAUUUUACAGUGAUGGAAGUACAGUUGCUUACUUGAUGUUUACUGAUGGCAGAAGAGCUGCUCACAUCUGGUCAUUUGUAUGGGUGUUGUAAAUACUGUGUUUGCCUGUGGGAGAACUGGAAGGGAGCAGGUCUGUAUCCCCCCAGUGAUGCUGAGAAGGCUCUGUGUUAGGCAGCUGCUGUCAGCUUCUGAUAAUCUCUGAGCACCUUUGUGUCCAUUUUCCCUUUUACACUGCUAACCCACAGGGGUGCUGUGGGGAUGAGUCAGCCUGCCCCUCUGCCCUGAGGGCUGACCCUGGGACAUCUGGGGCCUCUCCUUGACACCAGCACCUUCAGUAGGUGGUGAAGAAGGGGCUCUAGCAGAGUUGUUUUCUUGUGGUUGUGAGCGAGGCUGCCGAGCCAAUACCAUGUCUAGGACUUUGUUGAGCCAUGGAGGCUUUGAUGACGUGAACCUCUGGUACUUUGGGUAAAAUGUACCUUCUGAGAGAGGUAAUGAGUGUAACUAGUGAUUCAUGUAAUGAAAUAGUGCUGUCCCUGGACCUCUUCCAUGCAGAAUGAGGAACUUCAGAGCCCACUGUGUGGCUGGAGCCAGCUGCUGCACAAGCUCAUGCUGCAGAGUCAUAGAGCCAUAGACUGGCACAGACAACAUGACUUAGGUUUGAAGUAUUGAUCUAUAGGGGCAAAUCCUACUUCUGAAAAGCUGGGAACCAGCCUGAGUUUGUUGGUAACUUGGUAAGUACUGCUUUUCUGGGUGGGGGGAAGGGGGACUUCAGUGGUUGGAGUGGGCUGGGGAAGAGUAUCUUUUUGCCACUUCUCUGAAUGUGGCAUGUACAGAGUGAUACUCUGCAGAGCAGAGGGGAGUAGGCUUUGCACAUCUGAAUUUGACUUGACCACUGCCAAUGAAAAAUGGUUAGUAAUACUGUCACUGCUCUGUCUUUUAUAAGACUAUUCAGAGCCAGCUUUCAGACAUCUUCUAAAAGCCCAUAUCUGGUGCAGGCAGAUUUGCAGGGACAUAACAUACUCUUGUUCCCUAAAGAUUUUCCUCCACCUGCUUAGGUGUAGUCCUCUGAUGUUAUACAGUUGCUAUGGAAAUAAAUGACAUCACUGUCUGGGGAACAUGGCUUCAUAUGAGAAAUCAAUAAACUAGAGCAAAUGAAUUGUCAGACAGCUAAGUUGCCUCCCUGUCUUACUCACAUGGAAAAAAAAGAAGGUGGAUGAGAAAGUGAUAAAUAAUAUUUUCUUUUUCCCCAAGGAAAUGUGUGUUUUCUAAGCCAAAUGUCUGUCGGUUGUUUUAGACUUCAGAAGAGCUCAAUAAUCCCCUAAAGAUGUAAAAGGAAUUCAAGUCAGGGAGUUGGUAAUUUCCCACUAGCUGCAUUGUAUCUCGUGUUCCAGUUAUUCCUGUUUCACUUUCUGUCUUUGGUACCUGUUGGAUAGUAGAAUGCCAUAAAAGGAACUGGGAGAGAUGUACUCAAUUAGUUCCAUGAGAUAAUUGGAACUCCUGCAAAUACACCAUCACCUCUGUCUCUGAGUCUGCUUCCUGUUCCCUUACUCACUGUCCUCCCCUCAUUAGGUGCCUCUGUUGCUGCCUCUGCCAUCAGGCUGCAGGCAGCACGGGCAGGGCAUUCACAGAGGCCACCUGCCUGCAGAAAGCCAGGUGCCAGUGCUGCCCCCCUUAUCCCAGGUGCCACUGCUGCCCUCCCUAUCUGGGGAAUUCAGUACAGCCCCCCCUGAGCCCCGGGUGUGGAAUGUAUGUGACACUUGGCAGCCCCACUAGAGCCCAGCCCACUUCUUGGGGUGAUUUUACACAUAAGAUCUCUCUUCCUAGGAAUGAAAGGGCUUUCCCUGUUCCAGGGGUUAUUCUGGGUGGAUUGCUGGAAGCAUGUGAGUGCAUGUAAAUUCUUCGCUGCAGUGUCACUUAGGUACUGUCAGUGCAAUAAUCCCCAGGAGGAACACAACCAAAUGAAGGUCCCAAUGUGAAGCAUGUGUCCUAAAUGGCUAUUUCUGACACAGAUUAUAAAUUAAGGAAAUUAAAUUGAAAGUGCUUUUACUACCAGGAAAAAAACCCUCUAGAAUAAAUGUUAACUUCUGUACUUAAAAGAAAACUCCAAAUGGUUUAAAAAGCUGGAUAAAGUCUAUUUUGUGUGUCAUGUAUGAAAACAGCUAUUAUUGUGAGAAGCAAAGCAACUGAUAUUUUGCAGAUUAUGUUGUAAUGACACUGGUCCUUCCUAGUCGAUAUGUGAUGGAUGGUGUUAAAAGGAUUAGGAACAAAUUCACUCCUUCACAGGAAGGUUGAGCAGGGAGACUGUGCUGUUUAGUGAAUUUGCUGUCACUUACUGAGGAAUUAGCCAGCUCUCGUUGUGACUGGAGCGCCUUUGAAUCCUUGGAUAAUUUCUGAAUGCAUCAGCCAUGCAAGAAAAGCACUUUAAGAGGUGAAAUGUAUACGCUGUACGUACCCAUCUGUGCUGCAGUGGGCUGUUUUUCAAUAUUUACUUAAAAAAGCAGGCCUGGACUAAAAUAUAUGUAGGGUAAGGGUCCAGCUCUGAUAGGAUUUGGCAUUACAGAUGAGUUGUCAAUGUAGGAGUGCUGUGGUUUAUGGCUGAAUGGAGGAGUUCAGCACUGCAUAGUGUCAUUAAUCUCUUUGCUCCUAAACAUUAGAUUUAUCACUUACCAGUUGUACAAAGGCAAAAUAAGCAGUAAGAUAAUUACCCAAGCGUGUCCAUGGCAGCAGCCUGGGCUGCCAGUAGAAGGAUGUUGUAUAUAUGUAGUUUAGAACUAAGACAUUUGAAAAACUGCUGGGUGUUACUUUUAUGUAUGAAGUCAGGCAUUGGUGCAAGACACAAUGGCCUGAGGGUUUGGUGUAAACCCUGGUUUUUGUAACACCCCUCAUGAGACUGCAGAUUUGCCAGCUGGUGUGAUUGGGCUCACCUUACAGUUUCCCUUUUGCAGUAACUUCCCAUUCCAUGUCCCAGCAGAGCACAGUGAUGACUGUUAUUCACUAAUCCCCUAACUGGUAUCAGGAACCCCACACAAGCUUGUAGCGUUUCCCCAUUUCAGGCAUCGUGAAGAAAAACAAUAUUGGGAGAAAUUUAUCUGUGCAAAACAGGCACUGAAAUGUGAUAGAAACAUUUUGGUAAGAAAAAGAUCUUACACUUUAUUGUCUGCUUUUCUGACUCUUCUUUAGAGCUGCGUAUGAUAGCAGGAAAUGCUUUUCUUCAGUGUCUUUCUAUUUAAACUACUAGUACUUUAAAACUUCGGGGUGUGGGAUGACCAAAGUAUCAAGAGCAACCUGCAGGGACAUGGCACAUAGUUCUUGGUAGAGGUCAGUCCUGUCUGCUUCGCACAUACAGUUCUGUUGAAGUCAAUAAAACUAUUUGUGUGGCCAAGGCAAACAAGAUUUGGCUUGGUUGGGAGACAGCUUUUAAUAGCAGACUUUCACUAAGAAGCAAUGAUCCUGUUGUCCAGAAAUGUCCUUAGUAAUAAAGAAGAGAACAAAAACAGAGGAAAGCUCUCGAGGAGCAGAAUAGCUCCUGAAGUCUAUGUUUUUCAUGAAAUAUCAAUUAUUGAUGAGGGUUUUUCUAUAGCAUCCAGCUAGUCCAGAUGAGGAGCACUCAUGCACAUACGAUCAGUGAGUUCAGAGAAAUUGCCUAAAUAAAUAAAACAGGCACAGUUUUGCUUAUUAAAUACUGAGUGGUUUUCAACUUUGCUUCAGCACAUUGGGGAGUUUGAGUGUGCUUCUCCAAGGGAGAGGAAGGAAAAUAAUAAGAGAGGGUGGAAAGUGAGAAGUAGUAGAAGGCACAGAUUUAGCUCAUGAUAAGAGUAGGUGCAGGCUGCGUGCCAUCUUGGAAAUGACACAUACAAAUACCCCUAAGUUUGUGCUGCAGCUCCUCCUUGCUAUUUUGGAGCAUGGAAGAGAGACUGAAAGUUUUCUGGAACAAGGAAGGGGUCUUGUUGCUUGCAUAAUGCAAAAGAUAGGUCUGGAAUAUGAUACAUUAUUUACCAUUUACUCCUGUUCCUCUGUAAAACUAACGAAUGCCUGUUGCCUCUUCUGGCUGCCUUUAAAUUUUUUUUUUGGAUCGCAAAUGACCAUUAAAGGCAUCAGGCAGCAACAUCUGUGAGCAUAUAUAGCAGCAGCUAGUGCAGCUGUACCUAGGGAAGGAUGCACAAUCAGCUCAAAAUAGCUGACCAGGCAGCUCCCACUUCGCAGUGCAAGGUCCCCCAUCAUGUGGGACAGAUCAGUCCCCUGCCCCACAUGGGGUCGGCUCCAUGAUGCCCCAACCAAACAGCUGGCAAGCCAGCACAGCCAAACCACAGCUACUGCAGAGAUUGCAGUGCAGUGGCCUACUGUCCUUUGUCAAGUUCCCCGAUAAUGCAUGCAGAGUCUGUAGGGUGUGUGUGUAUACAGGCGCACACGCUCAGAGGUUAAAACUGUCCUCUGCAGAGAGCAGCUCUCUGAUGUGGUGGCAGAAGGAAGUGAUGCGUGGAAACAAUGUUAAUUAAAUGUCACAUUUUGGAAAAAUUAGAUGCCAGGUCAGUGAGUUAAAAUACUGGUGCUGUGUAAAACAGAAAACACGAGUCUCGUGAUUAUUUCUAUAAACAUCAUCUUUAUAAUUUGCUUAUAUUCUGGUCGUUGCUGGCAACCCCAGUCAGGAUGCAAACUGCAUUAUGCUAAGUGUGUUUAUGAAGUACUUCAAAGCAGUCUCUUACUUAACAACCAUUGGGUUUCUUUCUCUUCCAUAUCUGUAUGUGAGAAGCCACAACUGUCUGUUCAUUUAUGCCCUGUGCCUACACAAGAAAAUAACGUGCCAAUACACAAGUGGCUGUAUCUGUGAGGUAGAAUUUGUAAAAAUUAUGUGUUGAAAACUAUUUUAUCUGCUGUAUAUUUAAGUAAACACAAGAUGGAGAUGGAAUUUGUUACAUGCCACUCGAUCUCAGGAGAGAAUGGGCUAAAUGGCACUUUCCAGAGAGCUAAUGACCAUGUAAGGGGAGAUGCUUGGUAUAAUUAUAUAAUAGUAGUAAUGGUACAAAGGCAGCAGAGAUGCUCGGAGGUUAUUUCUCUUGGGCACUCAAUCUGAGGGACAGGAUGUCUCCUCUUGUGUAGUGGGGUGCAUGGAAAGUGAGGGUGGUUCUGUGUCAGAGCAGAGGUGACAAGACAGUGUCAGCUCAGCUGUUUUGAAAUCCUUCAGUGCUGAGAAGUAAUGCCCAGGAGAGCUUGGGAAGCUGGUUGCAGCACUCUCUGAAACAAUAGUGUUGAUUCUUAACAAAUCUUGGAAAACUGGGGAGAUUCCGAAGGCCUGUGGGACUCUUAAGCCCUUCUGGUGUUUAAAAAGGGCACAAAAGCAUAACCCUUGUUGGUAGGUCAGGUUGGCUUGAUGUUAGCUACAGGCUGACAGGGCACAAAUUGUUUGAGACUCUGCAUUAAUUUAAUACUCCAAAGUAUUAAAGGCUAAAAAUAUAAUUCCUACUUACUAUGGUUUAACAACUGGUAGAUUUGUCUAAAUUUUUCUUUUGGUAAGGUUAUGUGCUUUUAUGAUUAAAAAAACAGCGAUUAUAUAAUAUGCUUGGAUUUCUCUAAAUCAUUUGAACUAGUCAUGUCUGUCUUUUUGAUUAAAAGCAAAAUCCAGGAAACUCACGUUGUAUUGAAUUAACCUGCUAAGUGGAAUUAAAACCUGAGAUUUUGAAAUGAAUUUGUUAACAGGUACAAUAUGAACAAUGAGACCCAUUCUUGUCUUCCUGUAGCUACUGUUAAUAGUGCCAUGUUGGUAGAGUUUGCAUACAGAAGUGCAAGCAAGUAACGAGGACAUCAGCUUACAGAAUGAUGUAAAUCACUUUUGUUUUCAUUCAGCCAAAAGUAAGGUAAUAUAGCAGGGAACUAAGAGCCCUACUUACAUAAAUAAGGUAAGAAAUUUCAUAUUUGUUAUAUAUUAACCAAGGUGAUUUAAGGUCUAGCUCAAGCUAUUAUAAAAAAUCUGCUCUAAGCAAUACAGCAAGUGAAGCCUGAUGUGCAACCUGGAAUGCAGGGAGAGAGGUGCUGAGCUAGACAAGGGAUCACGUCUGUACCAUAUAGAAAUGCAACAGUAUAGAGAACCAUGCAAGUCAGUUCUAAUGGGCAGGUAGUUCCAUUUUUACUCCCUCCUCAGAACAGCAACUGAAUUGCAAAGACCACAGCAGCACAGGCAGCAGGGUCUCACCAUGGGCAGAAGCUACUGGCUGGCAGCUGAUGAGGUCAGGAUUGCUUCAUGACCCCACCAUGGCUCCAAAGGCAUGCUGACCAACAGGUGCAUGUUUUGUGAAUAAAAUAGCUAUGAGGGAGUGCAAAA